GGGGUCUUCCCGGACCAGGGCUUGAACCCGUGUCCCCUGCACUGGCAGGUGGAUUCUUAACCACUGCGCCACCAGGGAAGCCCCAUUCCUUUUACUUUUCAACAGCACAACUGGCCUGGUGGCUGAAUUCCCUGGGGAUGGCUGUUCUGGGUGAGGCUGCUGGCGACUGUGCUUUGAUUCCCAUGCCCUACUCCGGGGGGUGUGGGGGGUGGCAAAGCACAUGCGGACCGAGGGGCAGCCGACAGUGUGCCAUCUGGCGUUGACGGGCCCUGGGUCACUGGGUGCAAGAGUGAGGUGCGUUCACCCCAGUUUGUGGGUGUCACCGGCACUCUGGGACCUGGGUCCUGCCCGGAAGGCCUGUGACCUCCAGGUGUAGCCCUGGUCAGCUGUCACUUGGUACGUUGCGGCGCCGUGCUCUGUGCCGUCCAUCACGUAAGCUGCGCGUCUUGGGCUGCCGCUGGUGCCCUUGCGUGUUUUGUUUUGCCUGCAUAUGACGUGUGUGCUCGAGGUUGUCUUGCUUCGAUACAGAUGCUCACACGUGUUACCUGCUGCCCCAUGUGUAACACAUAUGUUCUGUGUCUUAUCCUGGCCGUACAGGGCUCAAGAGAGGCUGGGCCACUUCCUGGGCCAGGCCCCCUUUGUGGGAACCCUGCAGGGUCCAGGGCUGGGGGCUACCAUCCCCAGGGAGUGUCGUCAGUACCCUGGCCUGGCCCCCCACGAUGUGCCCUCAUGGGAGGUCUGUCCAGACUGGAACUCACACCCAGCCUCAAGGCAGCCUCCGAGCCCCGCCCUUUCCCCAGGCUGAAGGCCAUUAGGAAACGCAGCAGCUUCGUAAACUGGCGGGCAGGUGGGCCCAGGCAGUGGGGGUGGGAGGGGCUGAGGUUGGCUGCUCAGACCUCGGGGAGCCCAGGUCGGGGAGGCUGCAGGAGGGCGAGCCCCUGGGGUUCCUGCCCUGCUGGGGCUCCCAAGGUCAAUGGGAUGGGGCUUCGAGCUUUGCCUGGAGAAUGUGGUGGUGCACGUGUGUCCCCUGGGCGUCUGAGGCUUUGAUCUGCCUCUUCUCCCGUGUCUACCUUGUGCCUCACGUGCACCCUAGUGUGGGUUUGCGUGGGUGUGACCCAUGCGUCUCUGGGUCCCUUCGAGUGUCUGUGAGUCCUCUGAGCAUGUACCCAUGUCUGUUUGUUUACCUGUGUGCCUGUUUGGGCACCUUUGUGUGUGUUUUUGUGAGCCUUUGUGUCCUGAGUGCCUCUGCAGAUGUGCCCCAUGCCUCCACACAUGUCCCUGGGCCGACUGCGGUGAAGGCGCAGAGAUAAGCCCUGUGGGGGCCUGCGGUGCUGAGCCCCGGGGUACUUGCCUGCUCUGUCCUCUCCUGACUCGCCAGGUAUCCUAGCGCCGCUGCUGCCAGUCGCCUAGCAACCAGGUCCCCAUCCUUGGAGACGGAUGCUCCGAGCAGGGGCUGGGCUGUGUGGGCAGAGCCCGGGCAGGAAGAACGACCCCUUGACUGGGUGGGGCUGGCAGUUCAGCUCAGGGGUCACCCACAAGGCAUGUGACCCCAGGGAUGGGAAGGAGGCAGCUCCAUGUUCUGCUGUGUGGGUGCUGGGGGCCCAGGCUGUGAGGCAGUGAUGUUCAGGGACCCAUCAGCUGAGGCAGAGGUGCCCUUGGUGGGUCUUCAGGUGGCAGACAGACCUGGCUUUGAACCCUGUCUCUGCCCCUUUGACAGGUGGCUUCACACUGCUGAGGUGAUGCUGAGGCCCACAGUUAGGGGUGGUGGGGGUGGACAAGCUUGUGCUUGCGAUGGGCUUGGCACCCAGGAGGCACGUGGGGCACACUGGACAGUCCAGACAUCCUGCUUGUUUAUGAGGCUCUGAUCUGAUCAGGACUGGCUGGGCAGGGCCCCAGCCACCCAACCGGCGGCCCCCUGUGGCUCAGCUGCCCUGGGAUCCCAGCUGAGGGGUGCUGUUCUGGGCAUGGAACUCCGGCUGGGGCAGGUCUGAGUCCGUCCAAGGCCCUGCUUCUGAGUGAGAUGCGGCUUCACGUCUGUCUCUGUCUUGUGUGUGUCUCUCCGAGUCUCCGUUCCAUGUCUUUGUGUGUUUCUGCAUGUCCUUUGUGUCUGUUCUUGUGUGUUUGUCCCUGUGUCUCCAUGUGUCUGUUCCUGAGUCCCUGUGCGUCCUUGUGUGUGUGUGUGUGUGUGUGUGUCUGUGUGUGUCCGUCCACGUGUCUGAGUUCUCAUGUGCACCUCUAUCCCUGUGUCCAUGUGUUCGAGCCUGUCUCCGUCUGGGCUCUGUGGGUCCAAGCCUCUCUGUUGUUCAUCUCUAAGGGUGCACCCUGGUCCUUGCAUCUGUCCCCGUCCAGCCUGGGGCCCCCUCCUCCAUCCUGCACGGCCCCGCCCCCCUGCAGCCGCAGCCUGCUCCCCUCCCCCAGCUCCGUGCAACCAGCCUGCUGCGUCUGGUCUGGCGUCUGAGAAGGAAAAGGAGCAGCUGCCACUGUGCGGCAGCCGCGGCAUCGUCCAGACCCAGAGCUGAGUCGGGCCGGCACUCCCAGCCCUGCUCUGCCGCAGGCCGAGGGUUAGGGCCUCCGGGGUCCCAGCUCCCACGGAGGUCACCGAGGUACCGUGGGGCUUUGCGUGCAGGGCGGGGCAUGGAGUCUCUCUUCCCUGCCCCGUUCUGGGAAGUCCUCUACGGCGGCCACCUGCAGGGCAACCUGUCUCUCCUGAGCCCCAACCACAGCCUGCUGCCCCCGCACCUGAUGCUCAAUGCCAGCCACGGCGCCUUCCUGCCCCUCGGGCUCAAGGUCACCAUCGUGGGGAUCUACCUGGCUGUGUGCAUCGGGGGGCUGCUGGGGAACUGUCUCGUCAUGUAUGUCAUCCUCAGACACACCAAGAUGAAGACAGCUACCAACAUUUACAUCUUUAACUUGGCCCUGGCGGAUACUCUGGUGCUGCUGACCCUGCCCUUCCAGGGCACAGAUGUCCUCCUGGGCUUCUGGCCAUUUGGGAAUGCCCUGUGCAAGACGGUCAUCGCCAUUGACUAUUACAACAUGUUCACCAGCACCUUCACGCUGACUGCCAUGAGCGUGGACCGCUACAUAGCCAUCUGCCACCCCAUCCGUGCCCUUGACGUCCGGACAUCCAGCAAGGCCCAGGCUGUCAAUGUGGCCAUCUGGGCCCUGGCCUCUGUUGUCGGCGUUCCUGUUGCCAUCAUGGGCUCGGCACAGGUUGAGGCUGAAGAGAUUGAGUGUCUGGUGGAGAUCCCCACCCCGCAGGACUACUGGGGCCCCGUGUUUGCCAUCUGCAUCUUCCUCUUCUCCUUCGUCAUGCCCGUGCUCAUCAUCUCUGUCUGCUACAGCCUGAUGAUCCGGCGGCUGCGAGGCGUCCGCCUGCUCUCAGGCUCCCGUGAGAAGGACCGCAACCUGCGGCGCAUCACGCGGCUGGUGCUGGUGGUGGUGGCUGUGUUCGUGGGCUGCUGGACGCCCGUCCAGGUCUUUGUGCUGGUCCAAGGGCUGGGCGUGCAGCCAGGCAGUGAGACCGUGGUGGCCAUCCUGCGUUUCUGCACGGCCCUCGGCUAUGUCAACAGCUGCCUCAACCCCAUCCUCUACGCCUUCCUGGACGAGAACUUCAAGGCCUGCUUCCGCAAGUUCUGCUGCGCGCCCACCCUGCGCCGGGAGAUGCAGGUGUCAGACCGCGUGCGCAGCAUCGCCAAGGAUGUGGCUCAUGCUCGCAAGACCUCUGAGAUGGUGCCACGGCCGGCAUGACUAGGCGUGGACCUGCCCAUGGUGCCUGUCAGCCCGCAGAGCCCAUCCACACCCAACACGGAGCUCACCCAGGUCACCGCUCUCUAGGCUGACGUGCAGCUGCGCAUCACCACCCUCCACGGGCCACCCUGUGGCCUUGGAGGGUCUGGUGACAUCAUGGGACGGGUCAGAGCAUUAGGGCUGCCCUCGAGGCCCUGGUCAUACUAAAGCUGCCCUCCUAGUGGAGGGCGGGGAGGGGGCGCAAGGACUCACUGGUGAGCAUGCCCGGCCAGAGCCACCCCGGCACUGCCAAGCUUCAUGGACCAUUCUGGCCUCUCCCCUGCUGCAACCCUCUCCGGGUAGGCACACAGCCGGGAGCAUGACAGCGGCUGUACAGUCCUCCCACGUGCCCCUCGUAUUGUGUGCUGUCUGCAUGGACCCUUGCAGUGUCUCCUCUGGGCAGCUGGAUGGGCCUGGCGCUGCCUGGAGAGUCCAGUGGGCACCCCUGGGCAGUGGGACUCGCCCUGAGAGUGGAACUCCUUUAGGAGGCUUCUCAGCAAGCCUGUUCCCUCCAGGACACAUGAACUGUUGUGCCGCAGACAUGGCUGUUCAGGUUUGAGAGGUGGUCAGGAGGACCGCCGCAGGCCACCCUGUCAUUUGUGAAGCAGCCCCAUGUGCCUGGUCUCAGCUGUGGGGUGGGGAGGGCUCUGUGGUUCUCUGUCUGGGUUGCCUGGGCCCCCCUCGGGCUGUCCCUCAAAGCCCUCCUUUCAGACUCCAUCAGAGGUCAGCGGUUGUGCAGCUGUCAGGACCCUGUGUCCUGCUUGGGUCCUGGUGGCCUUGGAAGGAUGCCAGCUGGGACAGGUUCUGCCCUGCACCCCCAGUGACUGAUGCCCUACUUCAUUUACAAGCCUCCAGUUAUCUGUGGGGGAAGCCUGAGCUUCCCAGUCAGAGGCGGCUUCGUAUGCAGAGUUGGAAGGAGAGCUGGGGCUGGCAGACCUGCUUGAGGGAGGCUGCAAGGACCAUCUGAGCCGUGGGGACCCUGCCCGCUGUGACCACCCAGAGAAGUACCCUCCCAGUUUGCAGAUGGAGGCUGCAGCUCGGUGACUUGGCAAGCGUUCUCCCUGCAGACAAGCCGCUGAGACAUCUGCAGUGGGAGAGCUGCCUCUACCUGCUGGCUGAGCUGCAGAGCUGGCCAGGUCUGCCAAGGUGGCCAAAUGAAGCCUCUUCCUCCCCGUCCUCUGCAGACACACCAGGAUGAAGACAGCCGACAUUUACAUCUGUAGCUUGGCCCCGGCGGACACUUUGGUGCUGCCGACACUGCCCCUCCAGGGCACAGAUGUCCUCCUGGGCUUCUGGCCAUUUGGGAACGCCCUGUGCAAGACGGUCAGUGGCAGUUAGCACGGGGGGCGCUCAGGAGGCAGCGGGGUCCUGGCGGAGGAGGCGGCUCAGGGUGGCCUCCGGGCUGCGGACCAGGCCGAACCCACAGCGAGCGUCUGCGCUCGUCCCCGUCCAGGCAGGGCUGAGGGGCCGGCCAGCAGCCCGCGGGACCUCGGAAGCGGGACCACGGCUCGUCCUCUCAACCUGCACCCAGACCUCUCCUCGGCUCCCACCUCCGACCCCGCCCCCUGCCUCCA